GGCCUGCAGCCGAGUUACAGCCUGAGUUGGCUGUCUCAGCCACCUUGCACGAGGUCCAGGGAGACCUCGCGCUGCAGCCAGGGCCACCGCGGGCCUCACCAGGGCCCGAUCCUGCCAGCGCAGGGGCAAGCCGCAAGGAGCAGCAAGACGUCCUGGGAAUCGAACUUAGCAGUCAAGCUUGGCCGUUUGAAUCGCAAGAUCAUCCUUGACUGCAUAUCCAGUUCACGGCCAGCCUGGUGUGCACUUAACUACCUACCUUUGGAGCCAAGCGGCUGUCAUCUGGGGGAGUUCAACUGUGUCCAAAACUGUGUCUUACAAAAGAAUUACCUUAGCUGGACUUUUUGACCGUUUACAUCCCGUCAUGGAAGACCCUCACCUGGGUACCCACUGGCUCCCUAUAAUUUAUUGUGUGCAGCUCUGCCUUAAUUGCACAUGGCUUGCCUGGAGGGCAGGGGUGGGGGGAAGAGACUGGAGUAUUAAGAUUAAGAAAGGCUAGGAGAGAGGUCUUUAUCUCAGCAGCUAUGGGAAAACCCUCACCCUGUUGGCCAAAUCUUUUUUUUUUUUUUCUCCAGGCUGGCCUCGAACUCAGAGAUCUGCUUGCCUCUGCCUCCCAAGUGCUGGGAUCAAAGGCCUGUGCCACCACUGCCCAGCUGCUGGCCACUGGCCAAAUCUUUUCUGGUACCAUCCCAUCUCUAGAGGAAGGAGAACCCACUCUCAUGUAGGUACUCCUCACCUAUGCUCUGUAAGGAAGCCCAAUAAAUUCAUUGGUUUCCCCCAAGUGAAGUACGGCAGUAGACGCAUGCCCUGCUUUGUCACUGGAACCAUAGGUGGAGGGGUAGACAUCAUUUAUGCCCCCUCCCAUGGAAUGCUAUCAACACGUCUCAAUCAAAACAGAACACAUCACAGAAGAAGGGGAUCAGAUGGUACUCCAAGGAUGACAGUACCCCUCCUCUCUGCCUCCUCUGUAGGCCAACUUGAGUGAAUACUGGUUCUUUAGAUCGCUAACGUGCCAUGCUCCUGACUUGGCUCAGGGAUGAUUUUGAUGAUAUUUCUCUCUGUGGCAAGCACAGGAUACAGUGCCACAGUGCACUUCACUGAUAACUACUCAGGGAUGGCUGUGAGGGAUCAACACAGCCACAUAGCUAACACAUUGGGGACGUGCCACACUCCCUCCCUCCUGCCACUCUCUGCUCACCUUUUCUUUCUUUCAUAUAUAUAUAUAUAUAUUUCCAUCUCAAACAAAUCUUAGGGCUGGAGAGAUGGCUCAGAACAUAAGAGCACGGUCUGCUGUUCCAGAGGCCCUGAGUUCAAUUCCCAGCAACCACAUGGUGGCUCACAACCAUCUGUAAUGGGAUCUGGUACUCCCUUCUGGCAUGUAGGUAUACAUGCAGGCAGAACACUGUACACAUAAUAAAUAAAUAAAUCUUUUUUUAAAAAAAGAAAGAAAGGGUUGGUGUGGUGGUUUCCAUGAGAGUGGCCCCCACAGGCUCAUCUAUUUGAAUACUUUGUCCCCAGUUGGUGGAACUGUUUGAAAAGGGUUAGGCUUGGCUGUCUUGGUUACUUUUCCAUUGCUAAGAAGAAAAACCAUGCCAAGUCAACUAGCAUAAGAAAGCAUUUAGCUGGGGACUUGAUUAUAGUUGCAGAGGGUGACUCCUGUGGCUGUCACAGUUGGGAGCAAGGCAGCAGGCAGACAUGGCACUGGAGCAGCAGCUGAGACUUUGCAUUUGAGACACCAACCAUAAGUGGGGGUUGGGGAGAGCCAACCACCGAAAUAGAUUCUGUGAGCUUUUGCAAUCUCAAAGCCCACGUCUGUAAGACUCCACUGAUCCUUAGCCACCGGGGACCCUAACCACGUGGAGCCAGGGAUCGAUUCAAAAGCAAGAGGAGUUUAUUGUUCCAUCCUGCACCCGAAGAAGAGAUGGUGCCUCCAGGCAGCCUGUUUGGUGAGUUUUUAUACAGUUUCCAAGGGCAGAAUAGAGCAUCAGCAACUAGACACAAUGUGAUUGGCAGAGCAGUGUGACUUUUUUUUUCUUUCUUUUUUUGAGACAGAGUUUCUCUGUGUAGCCCUGGCUGUCCUGGAACUCACUUUGUAGACCAGGCUGGCCUCGAACUCAGAAAUCUGCCUGCCUCUGCCUCCCAAGUGCUGUAACUAAAGGCGUGCGCCACCACACCCUGCUGCAGUGUGACUUUUAAACUGGUCCUUAGGGACUGAGGUAGCAAAUGCUUCCCUUAUCUGCAGGUGGCCAACAGCUCCGUUCCCCCUUUGGUCUUUCUGAGGAAUAUAAAGAGCCUCUCCCCUCCAGAGGAGAUCCUGAGCUGACCUCUUCAAGUCCAUUGACACACCUCCACCAACAUGGCCACACUGAAGUGGAAACUUGUAGUUUCUUUGGAAAGUUAGCUAUAUCAAAUGAUGUUUUGUUGGGGCUCAUAGGUAAAAGGAUGUCUUGCUAAAGCAGACACAUGAACGAAUGCUUUCCUGAAGUAGACCCAGGUGAAAGAAUGUUUUGCUGGGGCAGACAUGGGUGAAAGGGUGUUUGAAUAUAGCAGACUCAUAAAAGGACCCGUGAUGAAGGAGUAUAAUUAUGACCCCACAGACAGUGGGAGAGGAGCACUGAACGUUGGUUUGGUUUGCUCUACCUCGCUAUUUAUUCUUCACUAAGGACACACAUGUAUUGGUUUGCCUUACAUAGCAUUGUUGAGCUCAACUUGUGGCAAUGCCGCCAUUGAGAGAAACUCGCCAAAGAACUGCUCAUGAGGUUCGAGUUAGCUUGCUGCUUCUGCUGCCUCGUCUCAGGCCAGUUGGUGAACCUUUCUGUUUCCUCAGAAUUGAACUAUAGCUCCUGGUUCGUGCCUGGUAUCUGCCUGCAGAAGGGGCUGGACUAUAACUGCUGGUUCCUGCCUGGUGUUGAAAGAAAAUGAAAUGUAAGACCUGUGAUUCAUGUAACUCAUGUCAAUUAGUCCAAAGAGUUGUUUGUGAGCUUAGAAACCUGGGGCUGAGAACACUGUGGAGCAGGCCAGGACAUGCCCGGGUAGGCCCGUUGUUAAGACAUUCCUGAUGCUGCUUGGCCAUAAAGAUAAAGAGAAUGACAUGUCCUGACUGGCCCUGCGCCUCCCUAUCUCCUCUGCCCUUCUGACAUGGGUUAAAUGUUAACCAGAUGCUCUGCUGUUACCUCGAUCUGCACAUACAGUCUGCUGAUGUUUAAAUGAACCAAUCAUGUGAAACCGCGCCAAUUCCUCCCCCAACUCCAGAUCCUCUUCUAUAAAGCCUCCUAGCUUUCAUGCCACGUGGCCAACAAACGUUUCUCCUGUGUGAGAUACCUGUCGGUCCAGAGCUCUGUCAUUAAACUACCUUGUGUGUUUGCAUCAA
ensembl:lincRNA Gm15728 predicted gene 15728